UUUCUGUGCUGUAAAACAUCUUCGGAGCCAUUGUUUCACGGCAUAUUUGCAAACGAAAAGUAAUUUGUGAAUAAAAAUUUUAUAUACGUGUUCUUAGCGAGAGGCUGAAAAAUAAACUUCGACGAAAAAACCUCAAAAUCAGCUUCAAAUUUAAGGUUGAAAAUUCAAAUUUUAGCUGAUGAGCAUAAGCGAAAAGAUGAGGCCCCUUGCGAAACACAUUAUUUAGGAUGUAGUACACAGUAACAACUGUGAUGGCAUGACUGUUACUAAACGCAAGCUGUUACCAUAUUUACCAUAUUAUCUCGCGGGACACAUCCACAGGCAUACCAUUGCAAUGGGUUGACUGUGGCUGGCGUGCAAACAACUGUUGCUGGUGCAACAGUUCUGGCACAGCAGUAUUAUCUGUGGUGCUUGCAAUGUGAGCCACAAUGGCAUGGCCAGAAGGAUGGUACCUAUAUAUUUUUGCUUGCUCCAAGCUAUUAAAAACUUUAAAUAAGCUGCUGUGUUUAUUCUGUGAUUGACUGAAUUGCUUUUGAGCUAUUUUUUUUAAUUAUUAAUUGCCUCACAUAUCAUGAGUAUUCUAUUUUUGUUUACUAUGUGAAGCAUAAAUCAAAUAGUUGGACAUUCUAUUUGUAUUACUCAGUUUUGUACAGA
rnacentral:sRNA from 1 species